AGUUUGUGAAGUAUUCAAAUCUCCUAUUUUCCUGUGUAAAGGCUAUUGAGAAAGAUAUUGGUAGUUGGGAUUAUAAAUGUUUUGACAUUUUUGGUAGCAACAAAGUAGAAGUUAUAAUCAUGGAAAUGACAAAGUCCAAAUAACAUAGAUAACAGGGUUUGGAAAGAUCACACAGAUGUCUAGGGACAUAAUCAAGAAUUGAAAUUUUGGGUUAGAAGAGCACACAGUGAACAACAGGUAAGAUUUCAUAAACUAAGGAGGAGUCAGCCUGCAUCUGUGAUGUGCAACUUCAAGAAGGGAUCGCCUCAGCAAAGUUGAAGCUGAGGGAUUUUAAGGAGAGAGGGAGAAUGUUCUAGAAGAAUCGACCUAAAACAAGGAAGCCACAUACUCCACUUUGAAGUCAAGAAUUCGUUGUGCAGGGAUUCAAAGCUCAAGAGCCUGCGGCUAUGUUUAAAUGAGAGCAAUAUUUACCCAGAGAAAGAGCCUGUCUCCACCCACCCUGCCAGGUCCAAGCAGACUCCGCUGUCACCAGACUGUUGUGUUUCUGAUAAUCAAUACACUGAUGUUUAAUAGUGCUCCUUCAGGGCUGUACCUACAAGGUGAAGCAGAACCCCCACAUGCUCUCAUAUGUGACCCUGUCCUUCAAAUACUAAUGAGGAACAACAGCAGGGUCCGCGGCAAUUUCAGACUCCUGGGAAUGACCAGUUUCUGUCUGUGACAGAAUAACAUUUCCAGAUGCCGGAGCACACUGGAUAGGGAAGAGAAUCAUAAUAGCUUCUCUGCCUGGCACUUAUUUACUGGUCCUGAGAUGGUUCUGUGCCCCUCUUCUUCCCUCUGUUCCCCAGAGGGUCUUCUCUACUGAGCAUGCAGGUAGAAGUACUUGUGUCUCAAGACCCAUUUGGAAUGCUCCUCUGGUUGCUGUCUUCAUCUUCACUCCUCCAGUUUUACCUGAGAGCACAGGCAAUCAGAAUACAUCACAACUGAGUUGAUAAUCUGUGAGCAGCCCUGUGAGCUCAGUCUAGUCACACGAGUCCCCAAAAGUGGAAAAGAAAGGAAGAAAGUGGGUCAGAGAGAAAAGUUGGAGCAGGAACAAUGUGAGUAUAAGAGGCACACAAUCCACCCACUCUGGCUUUGUUAAUGGGUGUAGGUGGCCAUGGACCAAGGAAUGUGGGCAGCCCGGAGAAGCCUGGAAUGGCCCCAGGUGACAACUAGGAACUGGGGACUUCAGUCCUACAACUACAAAUGAUAGUUGUGAGGACAAACCGAAUGAGCCUGUAAGCAGACUCUCUUCAAAGUCCUCAAAGGAACACAAACGUGCUGACCCCAGGCUUAACACUGGACCAACCUGCAUUGGGCUGCUGCCCUAAGGAACUGGGAGAUAAUAGAUUGUGAGUGGAAAAGAAGAAUUUAUUAAAAAAAAAAAAAAGCCAAAAUAACAAACACUGUGAUUUUACCCUGAGUGUGCAUUCUUUAGGACAUACUUGACAAUUUGAUACCAAAUGGUCAGAUUCAAUUUUUGUGAUUUGCACAUCAUUAUUCUGUUCUCUCCCCUGUAUGUAGCUCUUCAUCAAAUUGAAAUUUAAUAAUGCUGGAAUACAUUAGGAGAACAUCUUUAUACUAACAUUUUGAGGCCUUUAUCCUGUGACUUACAGAACAUUGCAGAGAAUAUAUAAAGUGCUUACAUAAAAUAUUUAUGAACAUUAAGCCAGUUCUUGGCUUGGGAAAGGGAGAUAUUUCUGAAUUUGACUAUGUAGAGAUAAAGCCUCUGAAGCCAACUAGAAGUGAUCUAAGAGUUAUUAUACCAGUGUAUCAUCUUUGUUUUAAUUCUCUUGAUGUCAAGGUAGCUAGUAGUACUUCUUGGAACAAUGCAACUUUUUUUCUACAUAUUGUGCUUUGAGAUUUAAGUUUAUUCUUUUUAUGUGAAAUAAGUUAAAGCAUCAUGUUACAUAGAUUGACUUUUUUUUCUGUCUGCAGAUGUUGGAGAGUCCUCUCUUCAAUCAGUUAAAUAGGGCACAACGACUCAUCAGGCUUUCUUUUAGUUCCUGCACAUGACACAACUUAGGUUUCAGAAUGACUCUCUUCUAUUUUGUAUAAAUGACAUUCUGCAUUUGUGGUGCAACUAGAUGUAAUUGUGCUUGCUAACAGACUCCAACCAGUAAUGUCAGUAAUUUGAAUGUAGACUAUUUGAGAAGGGAUAUAUACAUUUCAUUUGUUGUAAUUCUGCUUCAAAAAUAUUAUACAUUUAAUGUAAAUCUUCUUCUCAAGCUCUUCGUCCUUACCUGAAGAUUUACAUUAAAC